CCCGCGGUAGCUCAGCCUGGUAGAGCUUCCGGCUGUAGACCGGAGUGUCGGGUGCUCAAAUCACCCCCGCGGGACCA
rnacentral:tRNA from 1 species